GAUGAACGCUAGCUACAGGCUUAACACAUGCAAGUCGAGGGGCAGCAUGGUCUUAGCUUGCUAAGGCCGAUGGCGACCGGCGCACGGGUGAGAACACGUAUCCAACCUGCCGUCUACUCUUGGACAGCCUUCUGAAAGGAAGAUUAAUACAAGAUGGCAUCAUGAGUUCACAUGUUCACAUGAUUAAAGGUAUUCCGGUAGACGAUGGGGAUGCGUUCCAUUAGAUAGUAGGCGGGGUAACGGCCCACCUAGUCUUCGAUGGAUAGGGGUUCUGAGAGGAAGGUCCCCCACAUUGGAGCUGAGACACGGUCCAAACUCCUACGGGAGGCAGCAGUGAGGAAUAUUGGUCAAUGGGCGAGAGCCUGAACCAGCCAAGUAGCGUGAAGGAUGACUGCCCUAUGGGUUGUAAACUUCUUUUAUAAAGGAAUAAAGUCGGGUAUGUAUACCCGUUUGCAUGUACUUUAUGAAUAAGGAUCGGCUAACUCCGUG
rnacentral:rRNA from 1 species